GGUGAACGCUGGCGGCGUGCCUAAUACAUGCUAGUCGAGCGAACGGACGAGAAGCUUGCUUCUCUGAUGUUAGCGGCGGACGGGUGAGUAACACGUGGAUAACCUACCUAUAAGACUGGGAUAACUUCGGGAAACCGUAGCUAAUACCGGAUAAUAUUUUGAACCGCAUGGUUCAAAAGUGAAAGACGGUCUUGCUGUCACUUAUAGAUGGAUCCGCGCUGCAUUAGCUAGUUGGUAAGGUAACGGCUUACCAAGGCAACGAUGCAUAGCCGACCUGAGAGGGUGAUCGGCCACACUGGAACUGAGACACGGUCCAGACUCCUACGGGAGGCAGCAGUAGGGAAUCUUCCGCAAUGGGCGAAAGCCUGACGGAGCAACGCCGCGUGAGUGAUGAAGGUCUUCGGAUCGUAAAACUCUGUUAUUAGGGAAGAACAUAUGUGUAAGUAACUGUGCACAUCUUGACGGUACCUAAUCAGAAAGCCACGGCUAACUACGUG
rnacentral:rRNA from 1 species